rnacentral:rRNA from 1 species
GAUGAACGCUGGCGGCGUGCCUAAUACAUGCAAGUCGAGCGAACAGACGAGGAGCUUGCUCCUCUGACGUUAGCGGCGGACGGGUGAGUAACACGUGGAUAACCUACCUAUAAGACUGGGAUAACUUCGGGAAACCGGAGCUAAUACCGGAUAACAUAUUGAACCGCAUGGUUCAAUAGUGAAAGACGGUUUUGCUGUCACUUAUAGAUGGAUCCGCGCCGCAUUAGCUAGUUGGUAAGGUAACGGCUUACCAAGGCGACGAUGCGUAGCCGACCUGAGAGGGUGAUCGGCCACACUGGAACUGAGACACGGUCCAGACUCCUACGGGAGGCAGCAGUAGGGAAUCUUCCGCAAUGGGCGAAAGCCUGACGGAGCAACGCCGCGUGAGUGAUGAAGGUCUUCGGAUCGUAAAACUCUGUUAUUAGGGAAGAACAAAUGUGUAAGUAACUAUGCACGUCUUGACGGUACCUAAUCAGAAAGCCACGGCUAACUACGU